AUGAUUCGACCUUGCUCCACCAGAUUUCCCUUCUCCUCUCCUCCACCAGAUUUCCACCGAUGAUUCGCCCCACAGGCCGCAGCCGCGAUCUGCCACCUUCCACCGCGAUACGUCGCUCCCUUUUCCCCUCUCCUCCACCAGAUUUCCACCGGUGAUUCACCCCACCGGGCGCAGCCGCGAUCUGCCACCUUCCACCGCGAUUCGUCGCUCCCUUUUCCCCUCAGUCGCCACCCGAAACCUCAUCGUCGAAGAUAGCUGAUGGUGGCGCUCGGCCGCCCAAGCUCAGAUUUCAGAGCUCUAAUUUUCUGGGUGCGUCUCGGUUGGUUGGAAUUUUGAAAUGCAGCCGAUCUUAUUUCAAACUCGCAUAAAAGACGGAACCCCAGAUGAUGCUACCCCGGGUUCGGCCCCCGCCCAGCCGCCGGAGACAGCGUAUUUUUCCAUCCGUUGAAGGAAAUCGUUUCCAGUUUCCAGUCAAUACAUUUUAAUUCCAUGAGGAGGCUGAGAAGAAAUCUUUAUGUGAAAUCGAAACAGAAAGCUUGAAGCUGAAUUGUAGAGGUUGGAAUCAAGCAUGAACUCUUCCAGUUUGGAAGGGAAACUUUGCAAUCUAACAGGGCAAUACACAGGCACCUUGUGAAGAUUUUGAUAGACUUAACAUGGUCAUUGCAGGAGUGUGUUGCUGGUGCAGAUGUGGAAUUCUUAUCAUUGUUUUUCAAUUGCUGAGUUUUGUUCUGACAACUUUGUUCAACUUUUUAAAUAGAUUAUCUUUAUAUUCUAACAUGUCCUUCAGCGCAUAAAGGAGUUUGAGAUGGCGCUUCAGAACAGUCAGAAGAAGAUGAAGUACAUGGAAUCUGAGCAUGUCCUUCCAUGGGGGGCAAUUAGACUCUGGAACACAAAACUCUUCAAUUGAUGAAGGCCCAAUUGUUAGAGAGGGACACGAGUCCGUAGAUGAUAAAUCAUUUUAUUUAAAUUAUGAAAUGUGAGUUCUAAUAUACAUUUAAUAUGAGAAUGUAUUAAAUCAAUUCGGGAAUCUAUCUAUUAUAUAAAUUGAAGAAUCUAUUUAUUUUCAA